rnacentral:rRNA from 1 species
GAUGAACGCUGGCGGCGUGCCUAAUACAUGCAAGUCGAGCGAACGGACGAGAAGCUUGCUUUUCUGAUGUUAGCGGCGGACGGGUGAGUAACACGUGGAUAACCUACCUAUAAGACUGGGAUAACUUCGGGAAACCGGAGCUAAUACCGGAUAAUAUUUUGAACCGCAUGGUUCAAAAGUGAAAGACGGUCUUGCUGUCACUUAUAGAUGGAUCCGCGCUGCAUUAGCUAGUUGGUAAGGUAACGGCUUACCAAGGCAACGAUGCAUAGCCGACCUGAGAGGGUGAUCGGCCACACUGAAACUGAGACACGGCCCAGACUCCUACGGAGGCAGCAGUAGGGAAUCUUCCGCAAUGGGCGAAAGCCUGACGGAGCAACGCCGCGUGAGUGAUGAAGGUCUUCGGAUCGUAAAACUCUGUUAUUAGGGAAGAACAUAUGUGUAAGUAACUGUGCACAUCUUGACGGUACCUAAUCAGAAAGCCACGGCUAACUACGUG